rnacentral:rRNA from 1 species
AGGGAACGCUGGCGGUAGGCCUAACACAUGCAAGUCGAACGGCAGCACAGUAAGAGGUUGCUCGUACGGGUGGCGAGUGGCGGACGGGUGAGGAAGACAUCGGAAGCUAUUUUUUCGGGGGGGAUAACGUAGUGAAAGUUACGCAAAUACCGCAUACGACCGACGGGUGAAAGAAGGGGAUAUUCAGCCCUUGCGCGCUUGAAUGAGCCGAUGUCGGCUUAGCUAGUUGGCGGGGUAAAGGCCCACCAAGGGGACGUUCCGUAGCUGGUCUGAGGGGCUGAUGGGCCACACUGGAACUGGGACCGGCUCCACCCUCCUACGGGCGGCAGCGGGGGGGAAUAUUGGACAAUGGGGGCAGGCCUGAUCCGGCCAUACCGCGUGGGUGAGGAAGGCCUUCGGGUUGUACGCCCCUUUUGUUGAGAAAGAACAGCCGCAGAUUUACACCCCCCUAUCCUGACGGUACCCAACUAGAAAGCCCCGGCCAACUCUGUG